rnacentral:rRNA from 1 species
UACGAAGGGGGCUAGCGUUGCUCGGAUUGACUGGGCGUAAAGGGCGCGUAGGCGGAUAGUACAGUCAGGCGUGAAAUUCCUGGGCUCAACCUGGGGGCUGCGUUUGAUACGUGUUGUCUGGAGUUCGGAAGAGGGUCGUGGAAUUCCCAGUGUAGAGGUGAAAUUCGUAGAUAUUGGGAAGAACACCGAUGGCGAAGGCGGCGACCUGGUCCGAUACUGACGCUGAGGCGCGAAAGCGUGGGGAGCAAACAGG